CCAGCGGAGUUGCAGUUAUUUUGGAAACUCUCAUCUCUCCACGGUCUCCUCAUCAGUGAUGACUCUCCCCCUCUCAGAGUGGUCAAACACUCGUGACGGAUGGCUUAUUGAUCCGUGGACCUGGACAUUCCUUCCCUGUCUGGAGACAAGACGCUUUGUUCGAGCAAAUCAGUUUUGCCUGAAAGACAGGGGAGGGGAUGGAAACAAAGGCCGCUGUGUGCUGAGACUCAGAGCAUGGUGAGAAUCUCAGAUUUGCCUCAACGCUUUUGAGGGGAACUUGUGGUUGCUGCAUCUUUGUUUGUCACCAGGAUCUGGAUCUAAAGAACUUGAAACACUGACCAAUCUGGGGAAAAAAUCAGCAUUGAAAAAUGGAGUAGAUCUGGUGUUUGGAAGAAUUUAAAGAGGGGUUUAAACAGUGAGGCUCAGGUUAUCAAUAUGGAUACCUUACGAAACAACAAAAAUCCAUGGGUGGUUUAUGAGAAAGAAGUGCCACACAGCAGGUUUUGUGAUCCAGCCUGCGGAGUCAGUCCUGCAGAGAAACUGAGCCCUGAGCACCUGCAGCUCCUAAAAAAUGCAUUUACCUGUCCAAAAGCUGGAGCACAGAUUUCCAGGAGUGGAAGGAACAGAGGAGGAAAUGAAGAGCGUGGAAUGAAGUUUGAAGAGUUUCAGGAGGUUCUGAGGUCUGUGAUCGGUCCAGAUAUUGAGGACACAUGGGUUGAGAGAUUCUUCAAUGAGGUAGAUAUCAGUUGUACCGCGCAGGUGAAGUGGCAGCAGCUUUGUUCCUACCUGUUUUUGGAGUACACUGAGAGAGAGCGCACCUCCAUCCCCAGAGCAGCUCUCCUGGACUCCCAGCCACAGAUCAGACACUGCUCUCACAAUAAGCGGGAGCCAACAGUGCGUGUGGUUGCUGUUUCCCAUCCUCCUCCACUCCGCUAUAUUAGUGUCAGUAAAGGGGGUCAGAUCACUGUCUGGAACAGCAGCCUACACAUCCUCAAAAGUCUAGGGCUUGCUGGAGACCCAACAGAGGAAGUGGCCAACACGAGGAGAUUCAGAGGCUGGACCACCGAUGCUGUUUAUAUGGGCAACAUCAACAAGGUUGCCAUAGUAACUGACUGCAGGGACUUGCACUUUGUCAAUGUCUCCACGGCCAGCGUAUUUGAGGAUGUUCACCUGUUUGGGUUUCGUAGUGUCCUGACUGCUCUUUGUUACUGGCAUGAUGUUCAGUGUCCAGAGCGACCCUCUCUGCUGCUACUGGGGGAUGAAAAAGGAGGACUCCACCUCAUGUGGUUCCUGAACCUAUCUAAAGGUCUUUUCAAGAAUCCGUCCAAGAAAGAGAACGGUCCACAGAGGAUCUUUUUCCCAGACCUCGGUGAACACAGCAACAUGGUCUCCUACCGUCACGUCCCCAACAUCCACCAGGAACCAAUCAACAGAGUGAUGUUUGAGCCCAGCACCAACGUCAUCAUGACAUCAUCAGAAAGUGACACCACCUCUGUGGUCUUUAUGAAUGUGACACUGAAGCAGGAGCCUUAUAUUUGGAAAUUUAAGCAGGGAGCUAAAUGUUUUGACUACAACGCGUCUCUGCAGUUGAUGGUCACAGGAGGUAGUGACCGAACCGUCAGACUGUGGACUCGAUUUGUGACCACACAUCCUGUAGCCAAACUGCUGGGUCACCACACCACUGUAUUGGAUGUUGCGAUCUACCAACCUGUUGGGCAGAUCUUCAGCUACUCCAGAGAUGCUGAGCUGAGGGUUUGGGACAUUUCCAGCCAUCACUGUCUGAAAACCGUCAGCCUGCAGUUCCCCUGCCAGCAGCCAGGUCGAAUCCCAGAACACGGCAACUUCCCCUUCCUGUUGCUGAGCCCUCCUCUUCCUGAGCAGAUACAGUCUCAUUUAGUGGUGGGAUGCAAAGAUUACCUGGCACUGCUCAGUCUGGCUGAAACAAGAAGAGGAGGGGGCGGAUGGUUGACGGAUGAAGGAAGGGAACCUGGACCAAAAAUUCAAAGUGCCCUCUCCUGCGCUCUAUACAACUCCUCUCUGAGACAGGUCGUGACUGGACACGUCGACUCAUCUGUGUCUCUGUGGGAUGUAGAGACGGGGAAGAGGCGGCUUCAGAUCUUAAACGCUCAUGGAGAAGAUGAACUGACUUGCAUGGCACUAGACUCUUCCCGCAGAAGACUGAUCACUGGGGCUCGCAAUGGCACUAUUAAGGUGUGGAAUUUACUAAACGGCCUUAACUUGCACAAACUGGAGCCUGUCACCAACUCUGAAAUCACCGGGUUGAGCUGUCUCCAUGACAACCGGCUGCUGGCUGUUGGGUGGAGCCAGCUGGUCGCUCAGUACGACAUUGCAGCUGCCAAGGAUUUGUAUGUAAGAGCAGACAUGUCGUGGAAGUCCAGCGGCGUCCACAAAUCAGACAUCCUGGCUGUAUGUCCGUGCUCUGCUCUGGGGGUCGUUGCCACGGCGAGCCAUGAUGGAGACGUCAUUAUCUGGAGGCUGGAGACACAAGGACCAGUGCUCCACCUAAAGAGACCGACACAGAGAGGAGUGGUGCCCCCUGUGGACAGCCUCUUGUUCCUGCAGCAUCGGGCCGGCAACAGAAAGUUGAGGAACAGAGGUGUCCUGGUCUCAUCACAGGCUGGCUGUCUCUGCUUUUGGAGCAUCACUGGACAGACGCACACUUACGGACAGUUCUACGCUCCAGAGCAGCCAGGUGAGCGUGUGCUGAGCCUGAGCUCAGAUCAGCCUAAAAACACCAUCCUGGUCUCUGGAGACACAAUGGGCUGGCUUCAGAUCUGGGACAUCUGUCACUUUGCACUGGACAUCCAACACGAGAUACACAGGUGUUCUCUGUCUACACAGACAGUUUGUGUGCGGCCUCCUCUGCUGCAGUGUUGGAAGGCUCAUAACAGAGCGUUACUGAGUGUGGAAGUCUUCGAGGUAGCUGACAGAUUGCUCAUCCUCACAGCCUCAGCUGACGGCUCUGCUGGAUUGUGGACGAAGGACGGAGAUCAUGUGGGUUCUUUCGGACAGGAAGUGAUGUGGAAUAUCACUGACCCAGCUACUUAUCAGAGGACAGCACAAAAGAAACUGACAGAAGACACGGAGGAGAGGACUGAAAGUGACGAAAUGGGACUCAGCAAGGUCAAAAGUCAAGUACCUAACCCCACCAACAGGGGUCAAACUUCACAGGAAAAAUGUUCUGAAGCGUCAUCCACCAGCCCAUCAGAGAAUGACCAUGAGCAACCUCAGCAACCCAUGUAUCUGUGUGAGGACUUUUGCCAGACGGUAGCUUCAUUUCAAGAGAGGAGACGUCUGUUUGAUGACAUCCGCCACAGCAAUCACUGCUGAUUGGCUUUUUUCACCCCAUCAGACUCUGGUCCUGCAGGAGAAGCCUCCACUGAGGAUUUACCCACAAUCCCCUGGGUGCGGUAUCAGAGUUUGACUGGCAGCAAAAGGCUCAGCUCAUAGCAUCUGGAAGGAAAAGAAUCAGAGAAGGAGAGAGUAAAGAAAAGGUGGCCUGUAAACGAGGGGAGGUGUCAGUUUUCCCUGCAUGUUUUCUCAUUUGAAGUUGUGCAAGAACUUGUAUUUUUUCCAGCGCUGCCUCCUCUGAACUUGCGUCUCUCUGUAGAUCAGCGUGAGACAGGGAGAAGUGAAGGAUUCAUGUAUGUGAACUGCAGCAGGGAAUUUUUGCCUGGAGCAAAACAGAGUGGAGAAAGGAGAGGGGUAGAAAAGAUGACAGAGGAGCAAAGAGGAUGAAUGUUUAAAACAGGGAAGACAUGAAGAGGAUGGGAGGAGGAGAUAUUUGAUGAGAUGAAGGAGGAGUGAAAGUGGACUAGAAGAUGACAGACGGAAGGCAAUCUUGUCACCACACCUUCUUGGAAAAAAAGGGAUGUCCAGGCAAGUCACACACUUAACACACUUUUACACAAACACCUGUAAAUCUACACUUGCACACUCACAGUCUUCCUGCCAAUCUUCCUCUUUCUGCUUUAACCCUCUGAGAGUGUGUGUGUGUUUUCUACACCCUCAUUGCACUCACUCUCAACCUACUAACCUGUCAUUUGAUGUUUGUUUACAUGCCUGGGCACACACACACCCACAAUGUACACACACACCCCUCCCUACUCUCUCUCACUCACUCUCUCUCUCUCACACACACAUACACACACAAAC